rnacentral:lncRNA from 1 species
AUUGGCUGUUCACACCCACUGGUAUUUUAUUAUUUAUAUUGCUUUAUAAUAACCUUUGAUAUAUAGUAGGACAAGCCUCACCAUUUUAAUCUUCUCCUUCAAAGUGUCUUAUUCUUAGUCUGUACUUUCACAUGUUCCAUUCCUAAAAAAUAAAAUAGAAUUGGCAAAACUGAAAAGCGACUGUCAAGAAGAAAAUCUCUCUUCCAAAUUAUAUUUUUAAAGAUCCUGCAAUAUUUUAUUUAAAGGGAGGUGAAUAAAGAAAAUGCAGUCAAGUUAAUGGAGAAAACACAAUUACUCAGGACUACACCCAGCCAGCCUAAAGGGACAGAAUUUUCAGGAUGAGAUUUUUCAGUCAUCAAAUAGGCAGAAGUAUAUCUAAGAUUGUGGGCAAUGGUGGCCAUAAAGUAAACAAUUGGGCUGGUUAUGGGGAAAUAGAAAGGUGGGAACACAAAAGUGUGGAUCUGAGACGAACUCCUUCUUCAUGAUAAAAUAAAAGCAUUUAAUGCUCAUAGGAAGGACAAGAGUUAGAUUGGAAUUGGAAGGAGCAGGAAUAUCCCACAAAAUAACACUGAAAUAAGUCUGACCUACAAAUUCCUGAUUGCACAAGUAAACAUGUUUAAGACUAAGAGAGAAUGAUGAUGCUUAGGAAAUGGAC